rnacentral:lncRNA from 1 species
GUUGACGCCAGGAAGCUGUGGGUUACAAUGGGCAGACAGAGGUGGUAAAGCAGCCCAGCCCCCAGAUCAGAAAAGGCCACAGAGCUUCAGUCCAAGGAGAAAUGGCUUCAGGUGCGGCUGCAUCCAGGUGCUCAUGUGUUGUGGACAGAAACACCUUUCUGCAUCUUUGGCUCUGCAUUCUCCUCCCUGGGCCUUAUUCUCUGGCUAGUUCUUCCUCUGAGUGACAAGGAUCUGGGUUUACACUGUCUCAGAGUGGCAACUCCAGCAGAAAGAGCACACCUCCUUCGGCAGGUGUUGCCAGACCCAGCACAGAAGAGAUGGGGAUCUGAGCUCCAGGCCUGCCUUGUGGCAGCAUCUCCAUCUGCCUUCUCCCAAGUCCUUCAGAUCCUGGCCCAGUGGAGCCUCAAGCUCUGCACCCUCAGGCUGGAUUCAGGAAAUGCCUCCUUGCUGAUUUCCUUCAGGUCAGGCUCAGAUUCAGGGAAAACCACCAGCCACCCCACCCUGCUGGACGCAGCUCAGAGGCACCCUCCUGGAAGUCUCCCAGGAUUGCUCCCAGGAAGAAGGGAGGAGGAGAAGAGGCGGUCCAUGCAUUGGGUUGGGACCCUGCAUGCAUCUGUCCCCUCCUGAACUCCAAUGACAGCAGCUCAUGUCCAUUGCACUCCGACAGUGUGCCAGCCCCUCAGGAGCCCUGGGACCAGGAUUCUCUUCAUCUUCACUGCAGUCUUGCCUGGAGGCCCAUUUUGCAGAGAAGCAAGCUGAGCCUUGAGAGGUCAAGCACUGGCCCCAGGCCACAAGGCCAGAAUGGUAGAGCAGGAUGAAUCCUGGAGCCCGGACUCUCAUGCAGGGAUUACAAAACAGUCUGGAUGCUGUCCCCAGGCUGGGCUCAUCAUGCAAGUUAGGAAGCCGGGGUCAGGUCGGUCACAGGGACCCAGAGCCAGUCCACAGGGGGCCCAGGGAUCAGGGAGGAGGGGCCCAGCCUUGACCCCAUCUCCUCACCACAGCACAGAAGGCAGUGCAGGGCUAGCACCCUGGCACCCGGCUAGAAAACCCGCUGAUUUCUGAGACUGCCCCCCUGGCACGGCCCUGUCUCAGCCGCCCUGGCUCCUACUCUUUGCGGCUUCAGGCCACAGUGCCCCCAGCUGUCUUGGCUGUGUGACCUUGGGGGGUUCCUAUGCUUCUCUGGAGCCCAUUUCCUCCCUUGUGAGGUACCACCGACCUCUGGGGGUUCCUGGGCAUAGGAGGAGGCCUGACAAGGAUGCCGGGAAACCUCCCAGCUUUGCCGAAUCUCUGUGGAGCUGUGAGGCCGAGGCCAAGGGGUGAUGACCCAGCCCUGGAGAGAGGCGUGGGCGUCUCCACCCAAAGCCUCAGGGAGCACCCACAGAGAGCCCAAGACACAGGACAAGGGGGCUGCUGGCACUGUCCUGGGGCCACUUGCAGACAGUGACUCAGAGGGAAGAGAGCACAAGAGCUGGCACCUGUGGGGCUGGACACCAGGCCACAGUGGCAGGGAUGCCCCCAACCCAGCAGGAUCUGGGGCUGUGAGGGACUCACCGUGGGGUCUGGACAUAUGAGACACAGCACCUGGGCACAGCAGGCCCAUGAAGGGCCAGGUGAAGCUCAGCAAGGCCCCAGGGGCCCACACAGGGCUGGCAGGAAAAAGACAAAAUUCAGUUGUGGUUUAUUUCAGGCAAGGCUGGACGUCCUGCCAUUAGACGUGAGCCUCUCCUGGCCUGGAACAAGGGGAAAGGGCUGCCUAGGGUUCAGAACCAAGGUGGGACGCUAGGCCUCUCUCCCUGCCGUGCGGCUCCUAGUGACCCAAGAUUCUCAGCUCAGAGACCCAUGGUCCAUCCCCACCCACAGCAAGCACACCCUGACAACUUGCCCUGUGUAACCCUCACAACACCCGCAGCCAGCACAGAACCCUGAUACAGGCAUUGACCAAGUGAGAAACUGAGGCUCAGCAUGGCCUAGUGCAAUGUCUCCCUUUCCCAUCCUGGGGACAUGUCAUUGUGAGUGAUCAGAUGGUGUGAUGGUACCCCCGAGGCCCCACCCCUCUCCCCCGGAGGUCAAGACCUUGACUUCUAGCCCAGGCUAAACAGUCUGUGCUCCCUGCCCCCUUGGGGCUGCAUCAUUGCAUGUGGCUGGGUUGAGCUCUUGUUCCAGGCUGUGUGAUAUUUCAUAUGUCGCUGCACCACAGCUCCCCCUGAUGGUUAUCUGGACUCUUCCCAGCCUCUGAGGUUCCUACUGGGGCACCCUGUCUGAGCUCACUGGACCCAGGUGACAGGCUGGGGAGGAAGCACUACCCCGCUCCCCAAUUUUGAGAAGGAAGCAGAAGGUACAAGAGAGACAGAUGUUGAGGGAAGCCCUGAAUAAACCAUGUAGCGUCACCUGCCUUUAUUUUUAGCCUGAACCUUUUUUUCUUUUUGGUACCAGGGAGUGAACUCGGGACCUUGCGCUUACAAGGCAGGCAGCGGCCACCACUGAGCUAAACCCCGGCCCACUUGCUUUUAUUUUAAAAUUUUAUUUAUUUAGACUUUUUUGAGACCAGGUCUUGCUAUGUAGUCCAGGCUGGCCACCCUUCUGCCUCAGCCUCCUGACCGCUGGGGAAGCACAGGCGCAGGCCACCACAUCUGGCCUUGGAGGGACCUUCUGAGGGUCUCUGAGCCAAACCAAUGGUUCAGUUCCCCACUGCCUCAAGCCCUAUUCUCAGCUUUUCACAAAAUGAAUUAAAAGCUGUAAAAGGUAACUGUUGGGGGCCAGGGAUUCAGCUCAGUGGUUCCACUGCCUGCCUCAUAAGUACAAGGUCCCGAGUUCGAUCCCCAGUACCAAAAAAAAAAAAGGAAAAAAGAAGGUGAUCUUCAUCAGGUUGCCAUCUGAUGUUUGUGUCCCCAGAUUCAUAUAUGGAAACUGGGUCUCCCCAGGGAGAAGGAACAGGAAGGGAUCAGGUCCUCAGGUCCAGGUGGAGCCUUGUGAUUGGGAUUAGCAUCCCUCAAAGACGCCCAGAGUGCACUACCGCCCUGCACCAGUGUUACCACCCCAGCCUGGGACUGCGAAGCCUGCGGAAACUGAGCGGCGGUCCCGUGACUCCUAAGCCACCGCCACAGGGACAGACAUCACCCAGUCUAUAACGUGAAACUCAACUCUCAAGAGCAGGGCAGGGGCGGGGGAGCUGUUCCCCCACCACGAACAACCAAGAAAAUACCACUGGGAGGAAAACUGGAAAAUCAGGCUCCUCACCGCAGGGUGGCUUCCACCUCUUUCAAACACCUCGGUCCCUUUUCUGUCACCCCAGAAAUGCCCUUCCAGCUGGGACCACACUCAAUUGGCUUCACAGCAGUGCUGCACACAGGCUCCACCGGGCCGUUAUGCUUUUACAGCACACAAAAACUGAAUCAAGCAGAGCAGCUUCAAACCAUCCUUACUUUCCAGACUUACUUUUCCAGAGUUGAUUUUUGGAAUCCGUGAGAGAAGUUGCAGAGAUAGCCCUAAGCACUCCCCUGUCCCUUGGCCCUCGAUACCAUCUUGCAUAACCAGGAAGCCGGCGAGGGCGGGCACAUCAUGAACCCAGAGCCAGGCCCGAUUUGGAUCCUGCCGGUGUUUACAUGCAGCUGUGGUUUGGGGUGGUUUUGUUGUCUAUGCAUAGUUCUGUCAGAUAUUCUCACACAGAUUGUGUAACCAGCAGCCACAGAGGAGCUCCCUGGGGUCACCACUCUGUAAUCACACCCUGGCCCGGUGCUGGCCUCGGGCCCCAUGGCUGAGGGUGCAUGGCUGCCACCUCUGCACCCUCGUCGCCGGUACAGUGUCUUGGAGCAGGACUCGCUGGGCACAGAGCUGUGUGAUUGGCUCAGCCUCAGCCGAGUCUGCUGAUGGCUGCUUCUUCUUCCCCACUCCCUCUGCUGAGGGACACAGGUGCCACUUCCAGCCGGGCCGUGAAACAGUGCUGCUGAGUGUCCAUGUUCACACGCUGCCAGGCUCCUCGGGAUAAACGCCCGGGGGCAGCCACGGGCCGCGCUCCAGAGCAGCCGGGUAUGCUCAGGGUCAGUGUGAGCCAGGCCUGCCAUACGCCCAGUGCCUGCGUCCAUCAGCUUACGGAGAAGAAAGGCUCGCAGUGGCUCAGUCCUGGGCCCCCGGCCCUGGUUUGCUGGCCUGUGCUCAAGGCCUAGGGGGACAGGCUGCAGGGAAUGCGCACAUUUUGAGGGAGAAGAGAAAAGGACAGCCGAGUCACCUUGGCCCAGCUUCUUCCUCCAGGCCCCACUCCUACAGUUCCAGGGCCGAGGACCCAGCCUUCAACACAAGGGCGUUUGGGGACCCAGGAGCCAGGCCAUAGUAGUGUCCGAGUUUGCUGCCCCCUGUAUUAAUAGGGCUGUGGGAGAUCUUGUCCCGACUAGAACCCAUGACCCUCGUUGCCAAUGACAUUGGACAUGGUUCCUCCUGGUUCUCCCCAUCCAUGCCUCCUCCUCCGUGAAGUGUACAGCCAUCUUUUGCCCAUUUUUGUUUGUUUCUUACUAUCCACUUGUUUUUGUUUUCGAGACAGGAUCUCUCUGUGUAACCCAGGCUGGCCUCAAACUCGAGAUGAUCCUUCUGCCUCAGCCUCCCUAGUGUUGAGAUGACAGCACCCGGCUCUACUCUUGACUUUAGAGUGUGCCAAUGUAUCCUAGACGCAAGUUCUUUGCCAGAUAUGCUUGCUGCCAAGCUGUGGCUUGUCUUCCCAUCCUCUUAGCAGGGAUUUUGCAGAACAUUUUUAAAUUAAAUGCGGU